UACAGAGGUGGCAAGCGUUGUUCGGAAUUACUGGGCGUAAAGGGCGCGUAGGUGGCCUUUUGAGUCAGACGUGAAAUCCCCCGGCUUAACCUGGGAACUGCGUCUGAUACUGGAAGGCUUGAGGUCGGGAGAGGGAUGUGGAAUUCCAGGUGUAGCGGUGAAAUGCGUAGAUAUCUGGAGGAACACCGGUGGCGAAGGCGGCAUCCUGGACCGAAACUGACACUGAGGCGCGAAAGCCAGGGGAGCAAACGGG
rnacentral:rRNA from 1 species